rnacentral:rRNA from 1 species
UUUAUGGAGAGUUUGAUCCUGGCUCAGAGUGAACGCUGGCGGCGUGCCUAAUACAUGCAAGUCGAACGAUGAAGCUUCUAGCUUGCUAGAAGUGGAUUAGUGGCGCACGGGUGAGUAACGCAUAGGUCAUGUGCCUCUUAGUUUGGGAUAGCCAUUGGAAACGAUGAUUAAUACCAGAUACUCCCUACGGGGGAAAGAUUUAUCGCUAAGAGAUCAGCCUAUGUCCUAUCAGCUUGUUGGUAAGGUAAUGGCUUACCAAGGCUAUGACGGGUAUCCGGCCUGAGAGGGUGAACGGACACACUGGAACUGAGACACGGUCCAGACUCCUACGGGAGGCAGCAGUAGGGAAUAUUGCUCAAUGGGGGAAACCCUGAAGCAGCAACGCCGCGUGGAGGAUGAAGGUUUUAGGAUUGUAAACUCCUUUUGUUAGAGAAGAUAAUGACGGUAUCUAACGAAUAAGCACCGGCUAACUCCGUGCCAGCAGCCGCGGUAAUACGGAGGGUGCAAGCGUUACUCGGAAUCACUGGGCGUAAAGAGCGCGUAGGCGGGAUAGUCAGUCAGGUGUGAAAUCCUAUGGCUUAACCAUAGAACUGCAUUUGAAACUACUAUUCUAGAGUGUGGGAGAGGUAGGUGGAAUUCUUGGUGUAGGGGUAAAAUCCGUAGAGAUCAAGAGGAAUACUCAUUGCGAAGGCGACCUGCUAGAACAUUACUGACGCUGAUUGCGCGAAAGCGUGGGGAGCAAACAGGAUUAGAUACCCUGGUAGUCCACGCCCUAAACGAUGGAUGCUAGUUGUUGGAGGGCUUAGUCUCUCCAGUAAUGCAGCUAACGCAUUAAGCAUCCCGCCUGGGGAGUACGGUCGCAAGAUUAAAACUCAAAGGAAUAGACGGGGACCCGCACAAGCGGUGGAGCAUGUGGUUUAAUUCGAAGAUACACGAAGAACCUUACCUAGGCUUGACAUUGAGAGAAUCCGCUAGAAAUAGUGGAGUGUCUAGCUUGCUAGACCUUGAAAACAGGUGCUGCACGGCUGUCGUCAGCUCGUGUCGUGAGAUGUUGGGUUAAGUCCCGCAACGAGCGCAACCCCCUUUCUUAGUUGCUAACAGGUCAUGCUGAGAACUCUAAGGAUACUGCCUCCGUAAGGAGGAGGAAGGUGGGGACGACGUCAAGUCAUCAUGGCCCUUACGCCUAGGGCUACACACGUGCUACAAUGGGGUGCACAAAGAGAAGCAAUACUGCGAAGUGGAGCCAAUCUUCAAAACGCCUCUCAGUUCGGAUUGUAGGCUGCAACUCGCCUGCAUGAAGCUGGAAUCGCUAGUAAUCGCAAAUCAGCCAUGUUGCGGUGAAUACGUUCCCGGGUCUUGUACUCACCGCCCGUCACACCAUGGGAGUUGUGUUUGCCUUAAGUCAGGAUGCUAAACCAGCUACUGCCCACGGCACACACAGCGACUGGGGUGAAGUCGUAACAAGGUAACCGUAGGUGAACCUGCGGUUGGAUCACCUCCUUU